UGUCCAGAAGAAAUGUGUGAGUGGAUGAAAAAACAUGUGACCCACUGGAGACUCGAGGUCUCUUCCAGACUCAUUACAGCUUUUUUUUGUAAUAAAGAGGAGCAUCAUCUUGCAUCACUCAUGUUGCGACUUCAUGGUGGCUCUGUCACUAACACCUUGGACAAUGCUACUCAUGUGGUUUACGG